rnacentral:lncRNA from 1 species
CGACAGAAAAAUUCUUAUUUCGAAUAUCAAAUAUAAUAUGGCAUUAUGGUUAUUGGCAAAUUUUCCCACGCAUGUGGGGUAUAUUUCUUUAUAUUUACUAAUUUUUUGGAUCUAUUUUUUUUUUUUUAUAGAACCGAAAAGCCAAAAAGAUGAAUUAGUUAAGUAAUUAAUUUAUAUAUGCUGAUGGUCGAAUUCUUGACUUUAAAGACUCUCUUUAUAUAUGAUCAACUAGUAUAUAAUAUAUGAUCAACUAGUAUAUUGUAUGAGACUUUGAGUUAUCCAUAACGAAUAAUAUAAC